rnacentral:rRNA from 1 species
AAUGAACGCUGGCGGCGCGCCUAAUACAUGCAAGUCGAGCGAGAAGACGUAGCAAUACGUUUGUAAAGCGGCGAACGGGUGAGGAAUACAUGGGUAACCUACCCUAGAGUGGGGAAUAACUAGCCGAAAGGCUAGCUAAUACCGCGUACGCUCCUUGGACUUCGGUUCAGGGAGGAAAGCGAUACCGAGGGUAUCGCGCUCUUGGAUGGGCUCAUGUCCUAUCAGCUUGUUGGGAGGUAACGGCUCACCAAGGCUUCGACGGGUAGCUGGUCUGAGAGGACGAUCAGCCACACUGGCACUGCGACACGGGCCAGACUCCUACGGGAGGCAGCAGUAAGGAAUAUUGCGCAAUGGGCGAAAGCCUGACGCAGCGACGCCGCGUGGGGGA